rnacentral:misc_RNA from 1 species
GAUGAAGAACGUAGCGAAAUGCGAUAAUUAAUGUGAAUUGCAGAAUUUAGUGAAUCAUCGAAUCUUUGAACGCACAUUGCGCCCUCUGGUAUUCCGGGGGGCAUGCCUGUUCGAGCGUCAUUAUAACCACUCAAGCUCUCGCUUGGUAUUGGGGUUCGCGGUUCCGCGGCCCCUAAAAUCAGUGGCGGUGCCUGUCGGCUCUACGCGUAGUAAUACUCCUCGCGAUUGAGUCCGGUAGGUCUACUUGCCAGCAACCCCCAAUUUUUACAGGUUGACCUCGGAUCAGGUAGGGAUACCCGCUGAACUUAAGCAUAUCAAUAAGCGGAGGA